UGUUGACGCCUCUCGGGUAUGUUCCGCGGCGCCGGCGGGGCAGAGGCGCGGCGCGGGGAGGGCGGAGGGCGCUGCGGCCGCGCAGAGGCCCGGGGCUGCCGUGACCGCGCCCGCGGGGAGAGCCCGAUGGCGGCGGCCGCGCCGCGGGACCCCGCACGGGGCAGUGUGACUUUUGAAGAAGUGGCCAUAUACUUCUCCUGUGAAGAAUGGAAUCUCCUCGACCAGGCUCAGCGUUGCCUGUACCGAGAUGUGAUGAUGGAGAACUUGGCCCUCAUCACCUCCCUGGGUUAUUGGCAUGGAAUGGAGAAUGAGGAAGAUCCUUCUGAGCAGGAUGUUUCUUUAAAAGAUAUGUUUCAAGUCAGGACUUCAAGUGAAGGUCUGUCUCCCCAGAAGGCUCACCCCUGUGUGACGUGUGACCAGGUCUUGAGAGACAUUUUGCACAUAGCUCAUCAUCAACAGGGAACACACUGUCAGCAGAAACUGUACAGAUGUGGGGCAUCUGGGAAACAAUUGUAUUUCACUGCAGACAUUGAUCAGCACUUUGGAGAGAAACACUUCAAAAGCAAUGUGGGAAGAGCCCUAUUUGUGAAAAGCUACAAAUUCCAUGUAUCAAGGGAACACCUUGCCAGCAUAGAAGUUGGAAAGGACUUUCUGUCUAGUUCAGAAUUUCUCCAUCAGCCAACUGCUUGCACUGAGGAGCAAUCAAAUGGCAAAAGUAAUUGUGGGACUGUCUGUCACAAUGGGAAAACUCAUUUCAACUGUGGAAAAUACACAAAGGCAUUCAGCCAUGAGCACACAACUGUCCAGCAGCAGAAAGACCUCACUAGAGAAAGAUGUUACAUAUGCAGUGAAUGUGGGAAGGCUUUUAGCAAAAGCUAUAGCCUCAAUGACCACUGGAGGGUUCAUACUGGUGAAAAACCUUAUGAGUGUGGGGAGUGUGGGAAAUCCUUUAGGCAGAGCUCUAGCCUCAUUCAGCACCGGAAAGUUCACACUGGAGUACGACCUCAUGAAUGUGAAGAAUGUGGGAAAUUAUUUAGCAACAAGUCUAACCUCAUCAAACAUCGGAGAGUUCACACUGGAGAGAGGCCAUAUGAGUGCAGUGAAUGUGGGAAAUCCUUUAGUGAGAGCUCAGCACUCCUUCAACACCAGAGUGUGCACACAGGAGAAAGGCCUUAUGAAUGCAGUGAGUGUGGGAAAUUCUUUACAUAUCAUUCCAGUCUCAUAAAGCACCAGAAAGUUCAUAGUGGAUCCAAACCGUAUGAAUGUAGUGAGUGUGGGAAAUCAUUCAGCCAAAAUUCCAGCCUCAUUGAACACAAGAGAGUUCAUACUGGAGAAAGGCCCUUUAAAUGCAAUGAGUGUGGGAAAUCUUUUAGUCAGAGCUCUGCACUCCUUCAGCACCGUAGAGUUCACACUGGGGAAAGACCUUAUGAGUGCAGUGAAUGUGGAAAAUUCUUUACCUAUAGUUCCAGUCUCCAAAAACACCAGAGAGUUCAUACUGGCUCAAGGCCUUAUGAGUGCAAUGAAUGUGGGAAAUCCUUUACUCAAAACUCCAGCCUCGUUAAGCACAAAAGAGUUCACACUGGGGAAAGGCCUUAUGAGUGCAACGAAUGUGGGAAGUCCUUUAGCCAUAGUUCUAGCCUCAUUAAACACAGACAAAUUCAUACUCAAUAAAGGCCUGAGGCAAAUGUGCAGACCCUUUAGCCAAAGAUCCAAUCUCAUUACAAACUUGAAAAUUCACCUUAGAAGAGUCCUUGUGAGAACAGAGAACUUGAGAAAGCAUUCAACUGAAGGCCUUAUCUCAUUGGCUACCACAAAGUUUAUAUGAGACAUACACCUUUGAUGUGCAGGGAUAUGUUAUUUCCUUGCUCAUUAUACCAGCUCCUGAGUUAAGGUCAGGGUCAGUGCUGCUGCUGCACGGAACCACAUACACCCAGGCACUGCUGCACAGAACCACAUACACCCAAGCACCCACACACAUCCCAGAUGUGAGGGAACUGCACUGCACUCAGUAACCUGCCUGGGUCUCUUGCCUGGUCUAUGUCACUGCAAGCUCUGUGGCAGUCUCCAUGUCACCUCUAUCUCCUGGGAGGUGCCUGCGGUGUGCAUCAUUCACCUGCCCCUGUGUGUUCAGUGAUUCGUCUAGUUGAAACUGAGAUGGUCUCCAGGAUGGUAAAAAAAGAAAAGAUCACAAAGAUCUUACAAUACAGUUGAUUAUGAAGAUGGCUGGACACUCCCAAACAGUGAAGAUCAGAAUAUCUAGUUGUUCUCUAAAUUUUUCAAUCUCUUACAAACUAGAGAAUGACCAAAAGGAGUAAGUGAGAGGCAGAACAUACAAACAGAAAAUGGCCAAAUCUUAAGCAGUAAUAGAACUCUGAGCCACAGUCUGCAUAACCUAGACCAGGAAACCUACCCAUUACCUACAUUAUCUAGUGCAAGAAGCCAGAUAUCUGUAAGUCAGGCUUGUAGCAGUUCAGACCCUGUGCCCAGCAAUAUCUAGGAGGAAAACAAUAACCCCUGUAACAACUGGUCCUGAAUGUGCAGGACAUCAUUAGUAAUUGACAGUUUUCCUAAGUAUUAUCUUCACUUCCAUCGUAGUAACAAUGGUAGGUGCCAAUAUAUACCCAUAACGAGUCACAUAGAAUGCUGGGCUUCCCUGGUUCACAGGAAGGGUCUCCCUGGAGCUUCCCUUUCUCAUGUCACUGUAGAGAUUCACUACUGCUAUGCCUGCUUUUAGGGCUUUGCCAAAAUGCAUGGAAUGGUGGACACUUCCUUGCUAUAGUGGGUUCUGAUAAACAGGUUUUGAGAAAUGUUCUUUGGUCCAUCUUCACUUAUUUCCACAGGUCUCAGAACAAAUUAUAGAAAACAAAUAUAGUAAAAACAUAGUAAAUUCAUUUGAAAUAAUUUUCAUGUACAAGUGUUUAUUUGACAUAGUAUUCAAUUUAAUUGUUGCAUUUCAGUUUCCAGUUUAAGUUAUUCACAUGCCAGAAAUUGAUGGAUCUACCUCACAAGGUACUCUUAGCUAAGACAUCUUUUAGGGAAACAGUCUUAGUGUAAAAAUUGCAUUUGGAAGUCACCCCAUACCAAAUAUACAGGAAGUAAAAUUUGUUGAUCAAUAAUUUCUUUCUUUUUUGCCUUGUUAAUAAAAAUACUACAGAUUCACUUAAAGGAAUUCUUGCUGACUCUGGGGUAAAAAUAUAACAAUAAAACUUUUUCACUGGUGAAUCCACCUAAACCCUUCCCCUGCCAUUGUUCUCGUGUUCCAUCCAUUUUCCUGAACAUGACAAAAAAAAAAUUGGGGUGGCUGAAUAAGGCUCCAUCAUGUAUAUUGUCACACCACAUUUUCCUUAUCCAUUCAUCCAUUGACAGACACCUAAGCUGGUUCCAUAGUUUUGCUAUUGUGAAUUGGGCUGCUAUAAUAUGGGUAUCCUUCUGUUUGGUUCUUUUUCAGUAUUUCUAUAUCUAUUGAAUUUCACGUUCAUAUCCUCUACUGACUUCUUUAAUUCAUUAAUUUUCUGUCUUCUUUUGGAAUUCAUUGAUCCAUUUUCUAAUCAUUCUUUUGAAUUACUUAUCUGGCAUUUCAUCCACUUCAGUUUCUUUGCAGUUUAUUACUGGUGAAUUAUGAACUUUAGAAGAUGUCAUAUUACUCAUUUUUUCAUAUGCUUGUAUUCCUGGGUUGAGUUAUAUGCAUCAAUUGGGAUGGAUUUCUCUUCCACUCUUAUGUGUAGGCCUUUUUAGGGCACCAUCUUCUCUUGCCAAAGGUUUCUGGGAUAUCAGGUUGUUGUGAAUUUUUCAAUAUAUUUGCAAAUGGAUUUUAUAAUGUAGUUUCCUUGCUAGUACUUUGUUGAUGAUUAGCUUAUUUUGAUACAAAGUAUAUUGUAUUAGAGCUUGAGAAUUACACUUUUCCUGUAUGUCUCAAAAGAGUCUACAAUCCUUGUAGAUCUAGAAAUUGUGUUGUAUCUGUCAGGAUAUGUGGGUACAUCCUUUGUGAAUACCCUUCUUCACUUAACAAUUCUGUGUAUUCUAAAAGGAUGUGAGAGUGGUCUAUAUUGAGACCCCCCUCAUAGGUGGGUAUCCACAACCACAACCUUUGUGCUAAUUCUGUUUUUGCUGUAGAAGUGUAUGUCCAUGAGUGGGGCCUGAGGCCUCCCCGACAGUUAUUUCUGUUUGAACCUAGUCAUUAAUUUGGGAGUUUGGCUCUUCUGUUCUUCGUAUUAAAGCAUCACUGAAGUUGAAGCAUGUUUCAUUUGUAUAUGGAUCAAGGUAUCUUCUCUCAUGGCUGGGAGAUUAAUCAGAAUUCAAAGAAGACUAAUUGCAACAAUUUUUAUAAGACUUCAUUUUACUAAGCCAAAAUCCUAUCUCCGUGUCCUAAGGUCAAGAUAGUCACAGGUGCAGUAUGUGGAAGUAGAGUGGAUGAACAGAUAGGGGGAAACGCCUUCGGAGACAGUGGCUUCAGCAGUGACCUGCUGCUGGACUCCAUGUGCAGUGCUCCUCACACCAUUGCAGGCCAGAUGGGCUCUGAGCCUGACUCUCACCUCCAUGUUACUUGCCCUCAGUAUGACCUGGGAGGGUCCACUGAUGGACAGAGGGACAGGACUAUUUCUUUGGGGUUGAAUGUGACCAGGGACCUCCCUUGCCUUUCUUCUAGAAUCCUGGGCUCAUGUCCUAAAACUCUCCUUAGAUUCAGAGUA